GGGCCGGUAGUUCAAUCUGGUAGAAUGCCUCCCUCGCACGGAGGAGGUCGGGGGUUCAAAUCCCCCCCGGUCCA
rnacentral:tRNA from 1 species